CCGGGUAAAAUGCUCACCGAUAUCUGUGCGCUUGCGGAUCAUUUUCUGAUGGCGUUACCAAAUAUGAACAAGCAUUUCUGGCGCCGUUGCCGGGGAGAAAGACGGUUUGCUGAGAUAACUUUAAGUCUUGCUAUUAUCUUGUAUUAUACUUUUAUACUUUUAUUCUUUUAUCUUUUUAUUUUUUCAUCUUUAUGGAUAACUCAAAUUCCAUACAUAUUAUUGAAUACUUUGCACCUUCGGAGACCAGCCAUAGACCAUGGGAGUCAACAAGUCCUUUCUUUGCCCCUAAUUAUGAUCUAUGUCCGGAGUUGAUUGCAAUAGGUCAAAACCAACCCUUUUCUAUAGCUGAGGUCCUAUCUUUUAAUCAAGAAGAUAAUGAACUUUUAGCUACACUUAGGGAAUCUUUUAAUUUUUCUAUAAAUUCUGGUUUAAACCUAGCCCUACAAGACCAUAUUUUUUAUCGAUAUUUUCACAUUGGUCUUAAUCAUAUAACCUUUGGU
rnacentral:lncRNA from 1 species